GCGCCCAGGCGCGAAUCCUUCGCAAUGCGGGAAACCGCGACGAGGGGACUCCCAGUGCCUACGCUCAGCGUAGGCUGUUCCCGAGCCUAGAAAGCUCGGGGAGUAAGGGCUGGGUAAGACGGGUGCCAGCCGCCGCGGUAAUACCCGCAGCCCGAGUGGUGGCCACUAUUAUUGGGCCUAAAGCGUCCGUAGCCGGCCCGGUAAAUGCCUGGGUAAAUCGUGAGGCCUAACCUCACGAAUUCCGGGUAGACUGCCGGGCUAGGGACCGGAGGAGGGAGAGGGUACUCCAGGGGUAGGGGUGAAAUCCUGUAAUCCCUGGAGGACCACCGGUGGCGAAGGCGCUCUCCUAGGACGGGUCCGACGGUGAGGGACGAAAGCCAGGGGAGCGAACCGGAUUAGAUACCCCCGUAGU
rnacentral:rRNA from 1 species